rnacentral:rRNA from 1 species
AGAGCAUACGGUGGAUGCCUUGGCGAUAUCUGCCGACGAAGGACGUGACAAGCUGCGAAAAGCUGCGGAGAGAUGCAAAUAAUCGGCGACCCGCAGACAUCCGAAUGGAGAAAUCCGGCUGUGAUGAUGCACAGCCAUCCAUGCCCAAGAGCAUGAGAAGGGAACCGGGCGAACUGAAACAUCUAAGUAGCCCGAGGAAAAGAAAUCAAACGAGAUACCCCAAGUAGCGGCGAGCGAACAGGGAAGAAGCCCAAACCGGUGAAGGAAACUUUACCGGGGUUGAGGACCAUCAGACCCGCGAAGAACCUUAGCCGAAACUGUUGGGAAACAGUGCCGAAGACAGUGAAAGCCUGGUAGGCGAAAAAGAGAAACGCGGAGAUGGCACCAGAGUACCGCGGGACACGAGAAAUCCCGUGGGAAGCAGGGGGGACCACCCUCCAAGGCAAAACACAGAUAUCGACCGAUAGCGCAUAGUACCAUGAGGGAAAGGUGAAAAGCACCCCGGGAGGGGAAUGAAAGAGAACCUGAAACCGUAUGUUUACAAGCAGUCGGAGACCGCUUAAUAAUAAGGUCGACGGCGUGCCUAUUGAAGAAUGAACCGGCGAGUUACGAAGCCUGGCAAGGUUAAGCAGGAAAUGCGGAGCCGAAGCGAAAGCGAGUCUUAAGAGGGCGCAAGUCAGGAAGCGUAGACCCGAAACCACAGUGAUCUACCCAUGUCCAGGUUGAAACACAGGUAAAAAUGUGUGGAGGACCGAACCUAUAUCCGUUGAAAAGGGUUAGGAUGAGGUGUGGGUAGGGGUGAAAUUCCAAUCGAACGUGGAGAUAGCUGGUUCUCCCCGAAAUAGCUUUAGGGCUAGCCUCAGGGAAAAGAUUGCAGGCGGUAGAGCACUGAUCAGGAGAGGGACCUACCCGGUUACCAAACCCAGUCAAACUCCGAAUGGCUGCAAUCAUACCUGGGAGUCAGACUGCGACUAAUAAGGGCCGCAGUCAAAAGGGAAACAGCCCAGACCAUCAGCUAAGGUCCCCAAUGCCGUGCUAAGUGGCGAAGGAUGUGGCAUUUCAUAAACAACCAGGAUGUUGGCUCAGAAGCAGCCACCAUUUAAAGAGUGCGUAAUAGCUCACUGGUCGAGAGACGCUGCGCCGAAAAUGUCCGGGGCUCAAGCACGGAACCGAAGCUAUGGCAUGAUAGCAAUAUCAUGGGUAGGGGAGCGUUCUUAUAAGGAAGAAGCAUGACCGGAAGGACAUGUGGACAAAUAAGAAGUGAGAAUGCCGGUAUGAGUAUCGAAAAGAAAGGUGAGAAUCCUUUCCACCGAAAGCCCGAGGGUUCCUGAGCAACGAUCGUCGACUCAGGGUAAGUCGGGACCUAAGCCGAGGCGAGAAGCGUAGGCGAUGGACAACAGGUUGAAAUUCCUGUACCGGAUCAAGUCGAUCGAGCGAAGGAGCGACGCAGGAGGGCACAUGAUCGCGCGGCUGGAAGAGCGCGUCCAAGUGCGUAUGUUGCAGCAGAGGAAAACCCCUGCAGCUAAAAGCAGAGACAUGAUGGGGAGUUAAAGGAAACUUUGACGAACUCAUGAAUCCCACACUGCCAAGAAAAACUUCUAGCGAGACAAGAUCCGCCCGUACCGUAAACCGACACAGGUAGGCGGGGAGAGAAUCCUAAGGUGCGCGGGAAAACCCUCGUUAAGGAACUCGGCAAAUUGCAUCCGUAACCUAGGGAGAAGGAUGGCCCCCGGUCAGUGAAGAGCAGAAACGCUCAGAGCUAAAAGGGGCGGCAGAAAAGAGGCCCAAGCAACUGUUUACCAAAAACACAGGUGCCUGCGAAAGCGAAAGCUGAAGUAUAGGUGCUGACGCCUGCCCGGUGCCGGAAGGUUAAGGAGAGAAGUUAGCGAAAGCGAAGCAUCGAACUGAAGCCCCGGUGAACGGCGGCCGUAACUAUAACGGUCCUAAGGUAGCGAAAUUCCUUGUCGGGUAAGUUCCGACCCGCAUGAAAGGCGUAAUGAUUUGGGCACUGUCUCAACGAGGGGCCCGGUGAAAUUGAAAUACCUGUGAAGAUGCAGGUUACCCGCGACUGGACAGAAAGACCCCAUGGAGCUUCACUGCAGCUUGAGAUUGAAUCCCGGUGACAGAUGCACAGGAUAGGUGGGAGGCGUCGAAGCAUUGCCCUAGGGCGGUGCGGAGCCGAUGUUGGGAUACCACCCUUCUGUUGCUGAGAUUCUAACGCGAGGAGUAACGACCCUGCGGACCCUCUCAGGCAGGCGGUUUGACUGGGGCGGUCGCCUCCGAAAGAGUAA